AAUCGUAAAAAGGAGCUGUCUUCAAAGCUAAAAAGAAGAAAAUUGAGAGACAAUAGACACUUGGCUCUUCCUCAGUGCUCUAAAUUCUCGAAGAAGAAAGGACUAAGAAACAGCCGAAAAAGCUGCAGCCACCAUAAUUGCAGAGAAAAAUUUAUAAAAGGGAUAUUUUCGAAAUGGGGACUCAUCUCAACUUCAAGAACUUCCACAACAAUCCUACGUCGGACGCCGGUGUGGGAGGGGGUAGCGGCAGCCGACCUUCGGGGAACUUCCCAUUGGCCAGACAGCCAUCGGUCUACUCGUUGACCUUCGAUGAAUUUCAGAGUACUAUGGGGGGGAUAGGAAAGGAAUUUGGGUCAAUGAACAUGGAUGAGCUGCUCAAGAAUAUAUGGAGUGCCGAGGAAACACAGAACGUGGUAGCCUCCUCUACAGGUGCCCAAGAGGGUCUGCAGCGCCAAGGCUCUUUGACCCUCCCGCGAACCCUCAGUCAAAAGACUGUCGAUGAGGUGUGGAAAGACAUGUCGAAGGAAUAUGGGAAUGGAGGUGGUACUGGAGGAGCUAAUUUGCCUCAGAGGCAGCAGACUUUAGGGGAGAUCACUUUAGAGGAAUUUUUGGUCAAAGCGGGGGUGGUGAGAGAAGACGCUCAAUUAGCUGCAAAGCUUAAUGCUAAUGGUGGUUUUUUUGGUGAUUUAUCGAGGACAGGGAAUAGUUCUACUUUAGGAGUUGGGUUACAGCAGAAUAGGGGUCUGGGAUUGGACAAUAAUAAUACUAAUCAGAUUUCUAUGCGUUCCACGAAUUUGCCUUUGAAUGUUAAUGGGGUCAGGUCAAACCAGGCACAGGUACAUCAGCAACAUCAGCAACAGCAGCAACAACAACAACAACAGCAACAGCUAUUUCCUAAGCAGCCUAAUUUGGGAUAUGUUACGCAGAUGCCUUUGCAAACUAGUCCAGGAAUUAGGGGUGGAAUCAUGGGGAUUGGGGAUCAAGGGAUCAGUGGUUUGAUGCAGGCUGGUGCUUUGGGAAUGGUUGGAUUAGGUGUCGCAACGGAAUCACCUGCAAACAAGCUGUCGUCAAAUGGGAUUACAAAGAGUAAUGGGGAUACGUCUUCAGUGUCCCCAGUUCCUUAUGUCUUCAAUGGAGGUUUAAGGGGAAGGAGAGCCAAUGGUGCUGUGGAGAAGGUGGUUGAGAGGAGACAGAGAAGAAUGAUUAAGAACAGAGAGUCAGCUGCAAGGUCACGGGCUCGCAAGCAGCCUUUCUGCAUGCCACACGUUCAUGAAAGAUUAUGCGGCAGAAUGGUAAUGUCAUAGCGAUCUGACAUGAGAAGAGAUGAAAGGUUUUGAGAAGUCGAGGUCAUGAGAAGUUAUAAGGAUCAGGUUUGUUACAAGGCUUAUACUAUGGAGUUGGAAGCAGAAGUUGCAAAGAUAAAAGAGGAGAACCGAGAAUUGCAAAAGAAACAGGCAGAAAUCAUGGAAAUGCAGAAAAAUCAGGUAUUGGAGAUGAUGAACGAGCAGCAGGGAGUUAAAAGGCGGUGCUUGAGGAGGACUCAGACUGGUCCAUGGUAAAGUGCAAGAACAGCAUUGUUAUUAUACAGUUGAAAGUUUCAUAUGGUAGGUGGCUGUACAUAUUUGGGAAACGUCUCACUUUGCGUAGAUUAAGAAGGUGCUGAGUUUUACAGUAGAAGAAAUGAGAGUUUUUGCUGGUUUAGAUUAAAUAUUGCAACAUAUAUUGUCUGUUAAAUCUGCUUCUCUUCUGAACUUCUUGGUUUAGAUAUAGCAGAGUGGAAGAGAAGUAAAUGCAUUUUCUAGUCUGUUAGUAAUUUCAUAUAUGUUUGAACA